UUAUGGCCAUAUCAUGUUGAAACAUUGGUCCUAAUAUGAUCACUGAAGUUAAGCAAUGUUGUGCCUGGUCAGUACCUAAAUGGGUGACUGCUUAGGAAUACCAGCUGAUGUAA